rnacentral:rRNA from 1 species
GUAGGGAAUAUUGGGCAAUGGUCGGAAGACUGACCCAGCCAUGCCGCGUGCAGGAAGAAGGCCUUCGGGUUGUAAACUGCUUUUGUACGGAACGAAACGGUCCUGGCUAAUAUCCGGGGCUAAUGACGGUACCGUAAGAAUAAGCACCGGCUAACUACGUGCCAGCAGCCGCGGUAAUACGUAGGGUGCGAGCGUUAAUCGGAAUUACUGGGCGUAAAGCGUGCGCAGGCGGUGCUGUAAGACAGGCGUGAAAUCCCCGGGCUCAACCUGGGAAUUGCGCUUGUGACUGCAGUGCUGGAGUGCGGCAGAGGGGGAUGGAAUUCCGCGUGUAGCAGUGAAAUGCGUAGAUAUGCGGAGGAACACCGAUGGCGAAGGCAAUCCCCUGGGCCUGCACUGACGCUCAUGCACGAAAGCGUGGGGAGCAAACAGGAUUAGAAACCCUGGUAGUCC